UUGCUAGAUUCUGCCGGACAAUAGCUGCUCACCUCCACUGAUGGCCACGGCUCCUGCCAUGUGACCCUUUCCUAGAGCUUCGACCCUCCCUGAAACUGCUCCCUCCACACACCCCUUCGCUGGGGAGUGACCACUCCCGCUGACACUAGUCCCAGGUUGCCUCAUAGUCUCUGGUUGGUUUCUCUGAACCCUGCCACAUCUUUGGAAAUCAUCCCAUUUCAUCCCUCCCUAGUUAUCCCAUUGGCGGAGGCCGGCAGUUUCCUGCUGGAACCCUGCUUCUGAAUCAUACAUAAAGUAUGAGUCAUACAUAAAGUAUGGAUCUUAUUUCACAAAAUUAAAUGUGCAAGAAGAGCCAUUUUGUUGAACGAAAUCGACUUUGCUUCCCAUCUCGGGUUCCGUUGGGUUGGCGGGAAACACCCCGGCAAUGCUCAGCUCUAGGGUCUCGCGAGAAGAUGGAACUCCUGUCGCUUGGGCCUCCAGCUUCUCAGAGCUGCUGCUGGUUUCGUUCCGGUCCGAUCCCGUCUGCGGGUCAGGCAGAGCACAGCAGCGUCUCCUCUACGGUCGCCGUUCACGUCUGGGACUCCUGUGCACGUCUAUGGCAGAGGGCAGGUGGACGUGCGGAUUCCAGCCUCUUGGACGUGUCCUGGAGCAGUAAGGUACCAGAAAAUUAAAGAUGGACAUUGAGAAGAGAAGCAAAGCAAUAAUGAACAAAUUCAAAGGAGCUACUGGGAGAAAGCUUGCUGCAGCUGGGGAGAAACUCUUUGAUUGCCUCAAGCCCAGAUCAUGGAAGACCUGAAAAGGUUUACUUAAAACAAAACCAAACAAUUUUAUUAAUCUAAAUUCC
rnacentral:lncRNA from 1 species